AACGUUACCAAACUGUUGCCUCGGCGGGAUCUUCUGCCCCGGGUGCGUCGCAGCCCCGGACCAAGGCGCCCGCCGGAGGAAUCAACCAAAACUCUUAUUGUAUACCCCCUCGCGGGUUUUUUUUAUAAUCUGAGCCUUCUCGGCGCCUCUCGUAGGCGUUUCGAAAAUGAAUCAAAACUUUCAACAACGGAUCUCUUGGUUCUGGCAUCGAUGAAGAACGCAGCGAAAUGCGAUAAGUAAUGUGAAUUGCAGAAUUCAGUGAAUCAUCGAAUCUUUGAACGCACAUUGCGCCCGCCAGUAUUCUGGCGGGCAUGCCUGUCCGAGCGUCAUUUCAACCCUCGAACCCCUCCGGGGGGUCGGCGUUGGGGAUCGGCCUUCCUUCACGGGGGCCGUCUCCGAAAUACAGUGGCGGUCUCGCCGCAGCCUCUCCUGCGCAGUAGUUUGCACACUCGCAUCGGGAGCGCGGCGCGUCCACAGCCGUUAAACACCCAACUUUCUGAAAUGUUGACCUCGGAUCAGGUAGGAAUACCCGCUGAACUUA
rnacentral:rRNA from 1 species